rnacentral:rRNA from 3 species
GGGUUGUGAGGUUAAGCGACUAAGCGUACACGGUGGAUGCCCUGGCAGUCAGAGGCGAUGAAGGACGUGCUAAUCUGCGAUAAGCGUCGGUAAGGUGAUAUGAACCGUUAUAACCGGCGAUUUCCGAAUGGGGAAACCCAGUGUGUUUCGACACACUAUCAUUAACUGAAUCCAUAGGUUAAUGAGGCGAACCGGGGGAACUGAAACAUCUAAGUACCCCGAGGAAAAGAAAUCAACCGAGAUUCCCCCAGUAGCGGCGAGCGAACGGGGAGGAGCCCAGAGCCUGAAUCAGUGUGUGUGUUAGUGGAAGCGUCUGGAAAGGCGCGCGAUACAGGGUGACAGCCCCGUACACAAAAAUGCACAUGCUGUGAGCUCGAUGAGUAGGGCGGGACACGUGGUAUCCUGUCUGAAUAUGGGGGGACCAUCCUCCAAGGCUAAAUACUCCUGACUGACCGAUAGUGAACCAGUACCGUGAGGGAAAGGCGAAAAGAACCCCGGCGAGGGGAGUGAAAAAGAACCUGAAACCGUGUACGUACAAGCAGUGGGAGCCUCUUUUAUGGGGUGACUGCGUACCUUUUGUAUAAUGGGUCAGCGACUUAUAUUCUGUAGCAAGGUUAACCGAAUAGGGGAGCCGAAGGGAAACCGAGUCUUAACUGGGCGUUAAGUUGCAGGGUAUAGACCCGAAACCCGGUGAUCUAGCCAUGGGCAGGUUGAAGGUUGGGUAACACUAACUGGAGGACCGAACCGACUAAUGUUGAAAAAUUAGCGGAUGACUUGUGGCUGGGGGUGAAAGGCCAAUCAAACCGGGAGAUAGCUGGUUCUCCCCGAAAGCUAUUUAGGUAGCGCCUCGUGAAUUCAUCUCCGGGGGUAGAGCACUGUUUCGGCAAGGGGGUCAUCCCGACUUACCAACCCGAUGCAAACUGCGAAUACCGGAGAAUGUUAUCACGGGAGACACACGGCGGGUGCUAACGUCCGUCGUGAAGAGGGAAACAACCCAGACCGCCAGCUAAGGUCCCAAAGUCAUGGUUAAGUGGGAAACGAUGUGGGAAGGCCCAGACAGCCAGGAUGUUGGCUUAGAAGCAGCCAUCAUUUAAAGAAAGCGUAAUAGCUCACUGGUCGAGUCGGCCUGCGCGGAAGAUGUAACGGGGCUAAACCAUGCACCGAAGCUGCGGCAGCGACACUGUGUGUUGUUGGGUAGGGGAGCGUUCUGUAAGCCUGUGAAGGUGUGCUGUGAGGCAUGCUGGAGGUAUCAGAAGUGCGAAUGCUGACAUAAGUAACGAUAAAGCGGGUGAAAAGCCCGCUCGCCGGAAGACCAAGGGUUCCUGUCCAACGUUAAUCGGGGCAGGGUGAGUCGACCCCUAAGGCGAGGCCGAAAGGCGUAGUCGAUGGGAAACAGGUUAAUAUUCCUGUACUUGGUGUUACUGCGAAGGGGGGACGGAGAAGGCUAUGUUGGCCGGGCGACGGUUGUCCCGGUUUAAGCGUGUAGGCUGGUUUUCCAGGCAAAUCCGGAAAAUCAAGGCUGAGGCGUGAUGACGAGGCACUACGGUGCUGAAGCAACAAAUGCCCUGCUUCCAGGAAAAGCCUCUAAGCAUCAGGUAACAUCAAAUCGUACCCCAAACCGACACAGGUGGUCAGGUAGAGAAUACCAAGGCGCUUGAGAGAACUCGGGUGAAGGAACUAGGCAAAAUGGUGCCGUAACUUCGGGAGAAGGCACGCUGAUAUGUAGGUGAAGUCCCUCGCGGAUGGAGCUGAAAUCAGUCGAAGAUACCAGCUGGCUGCAACUGUUUAUUAAAAACACAGCACUGUGCAAACACGAAAGUGGACGUAUACGGUGUGACGCCUGCCCGGUGCCGGAAGGUUAAUUGAUGGGGUCAGCGCAAGCGAAGCUCUUGAUCGAAGCCCCGGUAAACGGCGGCCGUAACUAUAACGGUCCUAAGGUAGCGAAAUUCCUUGUCGGGUAAGUUCCGACCUGCACGAAUGGCGUAAUGAUGGCCAGGCUGUCUCCACCCGAGACUCAGUGAAAUUGAACUCGCUGUGAAGAUGCAGUGUACCCGCGGCAAGACGGAAAGACCCCGUGAACCUUUACUAUAGCUUGACACUGAACAUUGAGCCUUGAUGUGUAGGAUAGGUGGGAGGCUUUGAAGUGUGGACGCCAGUCUGCAUGGAGCCGACCUUGAAAUACCACCCUUUAAUGUUUGAUGUUCUAACGUGGACCCGUGAUCCGGGUUGCGGACAGUGUCUGGUGGGUAGUUUGACUGGGGCGGUCUCCUCCUAAAGAGUAACGGAGGAGCACGAAGGUUGGCUAAUCCUGGUCGGACAUCAGGAGGUUAGUGCAAUGGCAUAAGCCAGCUUGACUGCGAGCGUGACGGCGCGAGCAGGUGCGAAAGCAGGUCAUAGUGAUCCGGUGGUUCUGAAUGGAAGGGCCAUCGCUCAACGGAUAAAAGGUACUCCGGGGAUAACAGGCUGAUACCGCCCAAGAGUUCAUAUCGACGGCGGUGUUUGGCACCUCGAUGUCGGCUCAUCACAUCCUGGGGCUGAAGUAGGUCCCAAGGGUAUGGCUGUUCGCCAUUUAAAGUGGUACGCGAGCUGGGUUUAGAACGUCGUGAGACAGUUCGGUCCCUAUCUGCCGUGGGCGCUGGAGAACUGAGGGGGGCUGCUCCUAGUACGAGAGGACCGGAGUGGACGCAUCACUGGUGUUCGGGUUGUCAUGCCAAUGGCACUGCCCGGUAGCUAAAUGCGGAAGAGAUAAGUGCUGAAAGCAUCUAAGCACGAAACUUGCCCCGAGAUGAGUUCUCCCUGACCCUUUAAGGGUCCUGAAGGAACGUUGAAGACGACGACGUUGAUAGGCCGGGUGUGUAAGCGCAGCGAUGCGUUGAGCUAACCGGUACUAAUGAACCGUGAGGCUUAACCUUACAACGCCGAAGGUGUUU